AUCAUGGCUCAGAACGAACGCUGGUAGCGUGGAUUAGGCAUGCAAGUCGAACGGGAUCCGGGAGGCAGCAAUACUCCUGGUGAGAGUGGCGGAUUGGGGAGGAACACGUGAGCAACCUGCCUUUGAGUCGGGGAAAACCGUUGGAAACGACGGCUAAUACCGGAUGUGGCGCCCGGAGACAUCUUCGGAGCGCUAAAGGGGGCCGCAAGGCUCUCGCUCGUAGAGGGGCUCGCGCACCAUCAGCUUGUUGGCGGGGUAACGGCCCACCAAGGCCUACGGUUAGCUGGUCUGAGAGGAUGACCAGCCCCACUGGGACUGAGAUACUGCCCAGACUCCUACGGGAGGCUGCAGUCGAGGAUCAUUUGCAAUGGGCGAAAGCCUGACAAUGCGACGCUGCGUGGAGGAUGAAGGCCUUCGGGUUGUAAACUCCUGUCAUGGGGGAACAGGCGAGGGGACCCAACACGUCCCUUAGUUGAGUGUACCCCAAGAGGAAUUGGCGGCUAACUCUGUGCCAGCCGCCGC
rnacentral:rRNA from 1 species